GACGCAUGCGUACCUGCCUCGGCCCUGACUGCACCGCAGGGUGGUUCAAUGUUACGGGAGGGCACUGACCCGAGCCGGAGAAUCCACCCAUCGGUGCACCGAGGUGGCUACACCCCUGGUAUACGUAGGAGCCCGCCGGUCCCUGCAACCAGCCCUCCGACGAUUCACUCUCCUCCAGCUUCUCUCCCUCGUCCCCGGACACCUCUCUCUUCCACCCUCGUUUGGUGUUGCUCUAUACCCAGCACCGUCGACAUCGACUGAUUCUGUGCUACCACCACUACCAUCGCCGCGCCGCCACCACCACGUCAGCCCGGUAUCGGCACCGAUAUCGGCGUAGCUACCGUCGACGAGGGUACGGAGCAGCAUCGUGGCCCGGGAUAACCAUUAUCCACCUCUCACAAAUCACCUGGACCCACCGUUUACCACGGCAUGGCUCGUCUUUGCCGUGCUAUGAUUUGAUGCAUGGCGCGUGGGCCUUCCGCGACCGAUAAAGCCUCUGGUUUGGACCUGGCCCGAAUGGCAACUGCAAAGGUGGCUGGUAAAUGGAACGGGUCCACGUGCUCCGGCUAGUCGUCUGGAAAGUCGAUUAUUAUUCAUUGAGUUACGGCCCUGUGCACGAGGGUCGCCACUUUGUAGAGUAGCAAUUGUACGGACGGAUGACGCUCACCGAAAUGUUCGAACCGCUCCGCGCUCCAACGUCUGCAGUGCUUUCACAACGCAUCCACCUAAUCGGCAGAUUAAGAUCUCAGAGUGGCGCAGUAUCGGUCGCAACGCGGUGGUCCACGCGGGUUCUUCAACCCCUCGGGUCGCUACCCUCUCGGAAUCGUUCGUGGUCGACCCUGAAAACGGCUGUCGCUUUUUGUCGGUCUAACUCGAAAGAAAAGCAUGCGCGAAAAUAAAACUGCGUGACGUAGAAUCGUUCUUGGGAAAAGUAGGUCUCGCUUUGUGGCGUUGCUUUUUCCACCAAAGGGGAAUAGUAGAAAGAGUCGUUGGUUUUUCGAUUAAAUGACAUCCUGUUCGUGCCGCAAUCAAAACUUCGCGUCAAAAUGGCAUAAAAGUCUAGGAAACCUAAGCGUAAAAAUUUUUCAUUCACGAUUCAGACUAUUUUAUUUUGUAGAAUUCUAUCUUUAUCAGAAGCUUCGAAAGUUAUGUUUACAAAUUAGAUUUUCAAAUUUGUUUGCAAUAUUAAUUAUCUAUAAUAAUAAUAAAUUGGUAAAAUUUGAAACGAACCU